GUAGGUGAACCUGCGGAAGGAUCAUUAUCACGUUAUCCACGUAUCAACCAAUUUGUGCACUGUUGUAUUUACCUUUAAGAAUUUAGCUGGAUAGAUUAAUUCAUUGUGUGAUUUUGAAUAACUAUCUGUUUUGAGUUUUCUUUCGGGAUCAUUCAUAAUAUGGCUUUAUUCUUGAAGUGUAUUAAAUCACACUUUAACAUUUAUUAACCACUUGAACCUUUUAUAUAUUCUUUGUUUGAACUGAUUUGUU
rnacentral:misc_RNA from 1 species